AAACUAACCAAUAAUUUACUAUUACAUUAAUUUUUUGUUGCAUCAUAUAAUGAUAUUUGAUUACAUUAAAAUUUGAAACUAACUACAAUUUGUUAUUUAUUGAGUCCUCCUGAUGAAAAAUUACAUUUUUGAAUUUAGUAUAUCAUUUUUAUGUCUAUAUGUACGUAUAUUUUCAAAAACUAGAAUAAUUAAUUAAAAUCUCUUUAAAUUAUCGGAAAAUUUAUCGAAAAAUCAGAUCGAAAAUCAGAAAAAUCGGAUCGGAAAUCGGAUCUAAAAUCGGAUUCAUAGAAGUAGUUCCAGUUCCGUUCCACCUUUUAUCGGGAGAAUCAGAAAUCGGAAAUUCGGAAAUCGGAACUGCAAAAAUCCAUUCCAAAUUCGGAAAAAAUCGGAUCGGAAAUCGGAAAAUCGGCAAUAAUUCCCACCCCUGCACAAUACACAAUACACACACCUAAAAUUUUCAUGGUUGCAAACUCAAUAUUUUUUUGCAACUUUUUGUCAUUCACUGAAUGUAUAUAAAACACAAAGCUAAAAAUAAAAAUUGCCCACCUGAUUCGUCCAACAGAAGUGCAUUUCACUUAGUACCACCUAACUAGUAACUAAGCUGAACCCUGAAAAACUGCAUGGUUGCAACUGAGAACACGACACUGCUGCACCUGAGCUGAUAUUGCACUCCUACUCCGCUGCACUGAAAAAAAAAAAAAAAAAAAAAAAAAAAGAUAAACACCAAUCACCCAUCACCUUUCAGACAUCAAGCCAUCACCAUUCUUCUUCAUAGUAAUGACAAUAACAAAAAAAAAAUCUCUUUACUGCAAUGGAACUUCAAUAGUGGUGAUAUAACAUUGGAAAAUAGAUCAAACUAGACGUGUUAGGAUUAUCGGCCAUUCAACUGUAUGUCCCACAUCAAUAUUCUCCGAAUGUCUUGCCUACAACACCAAACAAUUCAGCACUCCAAUCUGCAACUUCAUCAAUGAUAAUCUUAUAUGUAGUGCCCCCGCUAUUUGUAGUUAUUGUUCCAAACACAACAACUCUUCCUCCAAUACUUAACAACUGGCAUGUUUGUUGAGCUCAAAU
rnacentral:lncRNA from 1 species